rnacentral:rRNA from 1 species
AGUCGAGGGGUAUUUAUCUUCGGAUAGAGAGACCGGCGCACGGGUGCGUAACGCGUAUGCAAUCUACCUUUUGCAGAGGGAUAGCCCAGAGAAAUUUGGAUUAAUACCUCAUAGUAUAUAGAGUUGGCAUCAACACUAUAUUAAAGUCACAACGGCAAAAGAUGAGCAUGCGUCCCAUUAGCUAGUUGGUAAGGUAACGGCUUACCAAGGCUACGAUGGGUAGGGGUCCUGAGAGGGAGAUCCCCCACACUGGUACUGAGACACGGACCAGACUCCUACGGGAGGCAGCAGUGAGGAAUAUUGGACAAUGGGCGCAAGCCUGAUCCAGCCAUGCCGCGUGCAGGAUGACGGUCCUAUGGAUUGUAAACUGCUUUUGCACAGGAAGAAACAACGCUACGUGUAGCGUCUUGACGGUACUGUGAGAAUAAGGAUCGGCUAACUCCGUGCCAGCAGCCGCGGUAAUACGGAGGAUCCAAGCGUUAUCCGGAAUCAUUGGGUUUAAAGGGUCCGUAGGCGGUUUAGUAAGUCAGUGGUGAAAGCCCAUCGCUCAACGGUGGAACGGCCAUUGAUACUGCUAGACUUGAAUUAUU